rnacentral:rRNA from 2 species
CCUGAUCCAGCAAUGCCGCGUGUGUGAAGAAGGCCUUCGGGUUGUAAAGCACUUUUGUCCGGAAAGAAAUCCUUGGCUCUAAUACAGUCGGGGGAUGACGGUACCGGAAGAAUAAGCACCGGCUAACUACGUGCCAGCAGCCGCGGUAAUACGUAGGGUGCGAGCGUUAAUCGGAAUUACUGGGCGUAAAGCGUGCGCAGGCGGUUUGCUAAGACCGAUGUGAAAUCCCCGGGCUCAACCUGGGAACUGCAUUGGUGACUGGCAGGCUAGAGUAUGGCAGAGGGGGGUAGAAUUCCACGUGUAGCAGUGAAAUGCGUAGAGAUGUGGAGGAAUACCGAUGGCGAAGGCAGCCCCCUGGGCCAAUACUGACGCUCAUGCACGAAAGCGUGGGGAGCAAACAGGAUUAGAUACCCUGGUAGUCCACGCCCUAAACGAUGUCAACUAGUUGUUGGGGAUUCAUUUCCUUAGUAACGUAGCUAACGCGUGAAGUUGACCGCCUGGGGAGUACGGUCGCAAGAUUAAAACUCAAAGGAAUUGACGGGGACCCGCACAAGCGGUGGAUGAUGUGGAUUAAUUCGAUGCAACGCGAAAAACCUUACCUACCCUUGACAUGGUCGGAAUCCUGC